rnacentral:rRNA from 1 species
CGAAGGAGAGCCUUGGCCUCCGUACUACACCUUGUAAGCUGGAAGCUUUAGAAGGAGCGAAAUGCACGCGUGUUCAGGACCAAGGCGGCGCCUGUGGCGGUCAUAGUGCGAACUAUUAAGGAGGAGGCGUCUAUCUGGGCUAUGACGGACGCCAAACAUUUAUGUAAUUUGAUGCCGCGAGAGUAG